GGGGUAUGUGGUGAUGUGGGCGUGGCCGAGCAACAUCUGUGGAGGGCGAGGCCAGGAGAGGAAGAACGUUAAAGAGGAAGGAUCCAUUAGAUGAGAGGUCCACUGAUAUAAAAAGGAUCUGUUCUUCACCUGGUCCUGAGCACUCUGAUGAUGAAGAGCCAGCAACUAGCCCCAGAGAAUGAUGGAGAGGAGGACACAACCAAAAAAAACCAGUGAAGACUCCAUGGUGAAAUUCAGACCUUCCAGGCCUCUGGAGUUAGACAGUGAAGAGAAAGAAGAAGAGGAGGAAAAUUCUGAGAAGGAAGAGGAUCCAAAAUCAAAGGAAGUUCAGG